UACGUAGGGUGCGAGCGUUAAUCGGAUUUACUGGGCGUAAAGGGGGCGUAGGCGGCCGUGUAAGUCCGGUGUGAAAACUCACGGCUCAACCGUGGGACUGCGCUGGAAACUACACGGCUUGAGGACGGUAGAGGGAGACGGAACUGCUGGUGUAGGGGUGAAAUCCGUAGAUAUCAGCAGGAACGCCGGUGGAGAAGUCGGUCUCCUGGGCCGUUCCUGACGCUGAGGCCCGAAAGCUAGGGGAGCAAACCGG
rnacentral:rRNA from 1 species